rnacentral:rRNA from 1 species
GACGUAGGGCGCGAGCGUUGUCCGGAUUUAUUGGGCGUAAAGAGCUCGUAGGCGGCUUGUCGCGUCGACUGUGAAACCCGCGGCUCAACUGCGGGCUUGCAGCCGAUACGGGCAGGCUAGAGUUCGGUAGGGGAGACUGGAAUUCCUGGUGUAGCGGUGAAAUGCGCAGAUAUCAGGAGGAACACCGGUGGCGAAGGCGGGUCUCUGGGCCGAUACUGACGCUGAUGAGCGAAGCCAGGGAGCAAACGG